rnacentral:rRNA from 1 species
GACGAACGCUGGCGGCGUGCUUAACACAUGCAAGUCGAACGGAAAGGCCCUGCUUGCAGGGUCCUCGAGUGGCGAACGGGUGAGUAACACGUGGGUGAUCUGCCCUGCACUUCGGGGUAAGCCUGGGAAACUGGGUCUAAUACCGGAUAGGAGCCAUUUUUAGUGUGAUGGUUGGAAAGUUUUUUCGGUGUAGGGUGAGCUCGCGGCCUAUCAGCUUGUUGGUGGGGUAAUGGCCUACCAAGGCGGCGACGGGUAGCCGGCCUGAGAGGGUGGACGGCCACAUUGGGACUGAGAGACGGCCCAGACGCCUACGGGAGGCAGAAGUGGGGAAGAUUGCACAAGGGGCGCCAGCCUGGUGCAGCGACGCCGCGUGGGGGAUGACGGCCUUCGGGUUGAAAACUCCUUUCGCUAGGGACGAAGCUUUUUGUGACGGUACCUAGAUAAGAAGCACCGGCUAACUACGUG